GUCAACAGUUCUGGAGAGGGAGGUCAAUAGAUUAUCUUUAAGAAUCCCAUCCCAAGUUCGUACUCCGGCUCUUAAACAUCCAUGUGUAUGUUCUGGCUCCAUCUCUGAGGUUGUGGUUUGAGUGAGAAAUGUCCCCCAUGGCUCAUGUAUUUGAACACUUGGUCCCCAGCGGGUGGUGCUGUUUGGGAAGGUUUAGGAGGUAUGGCUUUGCAGGAGGAAGUAUGUCAUUGAGGGCUGGCUUUGAGAGUUCACAACCUGGCCCUCCUGCCAGUCUGUUUCCUUAUGUGAUUCCCCGCCGCCAUGCCUGAUGCUUGCUGUCAUGCCCUCCUCAGUGUGACAAUCACUUCUCCCUCUGCACCCGUGAGCCAGGACAAACCCUUCCUUCUGAAUCACCCAUGAACUUGUACUGGGCGUGGAAGGGGAAGGGAAGGAGAACUGGAGACCCCCACAAGGACCCUUGACAGUUGGGGGGCACACAAACACCGCAGGAUGGAUGUGGAAGACAGAGGAAAACAUUCGGAAGCUGCUCCCAACUUUUACCAGACUGUCCAACACGCAGAGAGAAAAGAGUUACCUCCUUGAUCCUGAAGUAUGCCUGGCCCUUGAGUUCUGCAGCAACGGUAAGAAUUUCAUUAUCGAAAACAAAGUGGACGAAAGCUUUUAAGUUAGGCCAGAACGUCAGCUGGGUGUUGCUCAGGGAAGAUAUCGUUUUCCAGGCCAGGUCAAAAGAUUCUAUGCAGAGCGACUCGUCGGAAGUCAGGAGCUGGCAGAAGGGGUGAAAAUACUCAGUGGUGAAAAAACCCCAGAAGGGCUGCUGUUUCUCCAUCACCCAGCCCUCCUUCCCCUCCGUCUCACCUUGGGAACCAGCAUCUCCAUGCAGUGGAACACAGGCUCCAACACUGUCAGAGCAACCGGAAACAGACCGCGGCAAAGGAUAUGUGCAGCACAUGUGUCCAACAGCCUGCCCACUAGACACUGGAGCCACCGCACAGACUUGACUUGAGAGACUGGCUGAAAACUAAGUCAGCAGGUGUCUGACACGGGAGAUGAAGAACCUAACGGUACACUCUUGACCAAAAUGGAGCCUCAUCUCCCCAACUCCCUCCCCAACUCCGCUACACCGUGAACACCACACCACCGGGGAUCCCUAAUGACCACGACUGCACAAAAACCAGAUUGCUACACCUUAACAAAAAUGUUCCUCAUUCACCUGCCGU